GGGAAUAUUGGACAAUGGGCGCAAGCCUGAUCCAGCCAUGCCGCGUGAGUGAUGACGGCCUUAGGGUUGUAAAGUUCUUUCGCACGCGACGAUAAUGACGGUAGCGUGAGAAGAAGCCCCGGCUAACUUCGUGCCAGCAGCCGCGGUAAUACGAAGGGAGCUAGCGUUGUUCGGAAUCACUGGGCGUAAAGGGUGCGUAGGCGGAUUCUUAAGUCAGGGGUGAAAUCCCGAGGCUCAACCUCGGAACUGCCUUUGAUACUGGGGAUCUUGAGUCCGGAAGAGGUGAGUGGAACUGCGAGUGUAGAGGUGAAAUUCGUAGAUAUUCGCAAGAACACCAGUGGCGAAGGCGGCUCACUGGUCCGGAACUGACGCUGAGGCACGACAGCGUGGGGAGCAAAC
rnacentral:rRNA from 1 species